UCUGGGAUUAUGGCUCAGUAUGCUAGUUUUUAAGAGUUAAAAGUAUGUUAAAAUUUUACAAUCAAAACCCAAUAAUAAUAUUAGAGCCAUCCUUGUUAUAUUCAAUCAAACAACAUAUUAUUAUUGUAAUAUAGAUUAGAUCUAAUUCAUAUGAUGCCAUGAUGAUUAAUUGAUUAGAUACAUCAAUUCUUGAAAAUACAAAAUUAUUUUGUCCAUGAUCAAGUGUUUGAUUAUAAUUUCAGUUACUAAAUUUAGAAUUUACUAUUUUUUGUAAUUUUAUGGAUGCUAUAAGUUUAUUCAUGGUAGAUA
rnacentral:lncRNA from 1 species